GGGUGGGAAAAAAUAUUUCAUGCCAAUGGACAUGACAGGAAAGCAGCAGUCACAAUACUCAUAUCAGACAAAAUAGACUUUAAAAUCAGGGCCAUAAAGAUAAAGAAGGACAUUACAUCAUGAUAAAAGGACCAAUAUAAGAAGAGGAUUUUACACUUAUCAACAUAUGUGCAUCUAAUAUAGGAGAAUUCAAAUACAUAAAACAAAUACUAACAGACAUAAAGAAAGAAAUUGAUGGGAAUACAGUAAUAAAUAGUAGGCGACUUUAACAGUCAGUUCACAUCAAUGGACAAAUCUUCUAAACAGAAAAUCAGUAAGGCAAGAGAGAUCCUAAGUGAUAAAAUAGACCACUUAGACUUAAUUUGUAUUUUCAGGAAAUUACAUGGAAAAAAGUCAGAAUACACAUUCUUUGUUCCAAGUGCAUAUGGCAAAUUCUAUAGGAUGACCACAUACUGGGUCACAAAACAAACCUCAACAAAUUUAAGAGUAUAGAAAUUAUUUCAAGCAUUGUCUCUGAAUACAAUGGCAUGAAACUAGUCAAGCACAGGAAAAGAAAUGGGAAACAAAUAAUUAUGUGGAGACUAAACAUGCUAUUAAAAAACCAUGGGUCAAUGAUGAACUCAAAGAGGAAAUUAAAAAAAAAAUCUUGAGACAAAUUACAAUGAAAACAAAACCAUACAAAAAUCUAUGGAUUGCAGCAAAAUCAAUUCUUAGAGAGACCUUAUAGUGAUAGAGGCCUUUCUCAGAAAACAAGAAAAAGAUCUCAAAUAAACAACCUAACCUACCAUUUAAAAGAAUUAGAUACUCAGCCAUAAAAAAGAAUGAGAUAAUACCAUUUGCAACAACAUGGAUGAACUUAGAAAUGAUCAUACUAAUUCAGAGAAAGACAAAUAUCAUAUGAGAUCACUAAUACUUGGAAUCUAAUGAAAAAUUAUACAAAACAACUUACAAAACAGACACAGACUCAGAUUUUGAAACCAAACUUAUGGUUACCAAAUGGGAAACAUUGGUAGGAGGGAUGAAUUAGGGGACUGGGAUUGACAUGUGCACACUACUAUAUACAAAAUGGAUGGGUAACAAGGACAUCCUGUAUAGCACAGGGUAACCUACUCAAUGCUGCAUAAUAAACUACAUGGGAAGAGUCUGAAAAGGAAUGGAUAUAUGAAUAUGCAUAACUGAUUUACUUUGCUAUACAACUGAAAUUAGCAUAACAUUGUAAGUCAGCUAUACUCUAUAAAAUUUAUUUUUUAAAAAGAAUUAGAAGAAGAGCAAACAAACCCUAAAAUCAGCAGAAGGAAAUAAUACAGCUCAAAGAGAAAAUAAAUAAAAUAGAGAUUAAAAAACAAUAGAAAAAAUCAACAGCUUUCUAGAAAUAUAUAGCCUACCAAAAUUGAAUCAAGAAGAAAUGGAUAAUUUGAACAGACCAAUCACUAGAAGUGAAAUAGAAUGUGUAAUUUUUUUCAAAAUUCCCUACAAGCAAAAGUCCAGGACCAGAUGGCUUCACAGGUGAAUUCUAGCAAACAUACACAGAAGGGCUUAUAUCAAUCCUUCUCAAACUCUCUAAAAGACUGGGCGAGAACACUCCCAAAGACAUUCUAAGAAGCCACCAUCCACCCUGAUAUCAAAACCAAAGACAGGACCAAAAAAGAAAAUUAUGAGCCAAUGUAUUUGAUGAAUACAGAUGCAAAAAUUCUCAACAAAAAUUUAACAAACCAAAUCCAACAGCGUGAUAAAAAUAUCAUACACCAUGACCAAGGAGGAUUCAUCCUAAGUUCACAAAAUGGUUCAAUAUAUGCCAAUCAAUGUGAUUCACCACAUAAAUGAAAAGAUGAAAACCACACGAUCCUCUCAAUAGAUGUGGAAAAAGCAUUUGACAAAAUUCUGCAUCUUUUCAUGAUUAAAAUUCUUACCAAAGUGGAUAUAGAGAGAACAUAUCUCAACAAAAUAAAAGCUAUUUAUGACAAAACCAUAGUCAAUAUAAUACUCAAUGGUGAAAAGCUAAAAGACUUUCUGCUAAAAUCUUGAACAGGAAAAGGAUGCUCGCUCUAAUCUCUUCUCUUCAACAUAACAUUGGAAGUUCUAGCCACAGCAAUCAGACAGGAAAAACAAAUAAAAGCUAUCUAAAUUGGAAGGGAAGAAGUAAAGUUGCCAUUAUAUGCAGAUGACAUGAUACUAUAUAUAGAGUACCCUAAGGACUCCACACAAAAACUGCUACAACUGAUAAACAAAUUCAACAAGAUAGCAGGAUACAAGAUUAACAUACAGAAAUUGCUUGCAUUUCU
ensembl:lncRNA